rnacentral:lncRNA from 1 species
AUGAUUUUUUUUACCCCGAGUCUUCCUGAGUUUCCUCUCUGCCGGAUACCAGAUUUCAAGUCAAAAUCAAAGAUUUCAAUCGAACUUGGGAUAAAAAUACGACGUAAUAUCGGUGAUACUUGGCAGCUGCGGAUGGAUGCAAUAAUCAUUGCAAUCACAAUUCACAUCACAAAGUUCAAAAAAAUACAAUCGGUGCAGUCAGGUCUCCUUUCCUUCCAGUUUUUCACACCUGCUGCCGUGUACCUAGGCCUCGGUGAAUGGAUAAUAAUGUUUUCGAAGAUGGAAGUUUGCCACAGAAAAGCAACAGAAAUUUUGCCCCAGUUGGCGGAAAUAUUGAAGAUUGCAUCUACUGAAUGCAACGCGUUACGUGACUCUUUUGAUGCAUUUAUAUGGUCAAAUGACGUCAUCAGCCUAUUGUCCUUGACCAAAGUUGCUGAAAAUGACGAAGUGGUCAAAAAUCUACUCCAUGUUGCUGAAUCAGGAGCUGCUGUAUUACUGACUAUUGCUCAAAGUGCCAAAUCUCCACAUGAAAUCCUCCAAGCCACUGACCCAUUAACACUCUCUCAAUCUGAAGAAAAGCAGUGAAAGCCUCAGAGAUCGAAAUACUUCAAGUUUGGUGCUGUAUGCUCCUGUCAAGACGGAAGGCCCUUUUUCGUCAAUGAAAUUUGGUAUGCAUACUUUAUGGUCCUCAGACUGCUUUAUAUUGAUAGAUACUAAAUUAGACACACAAAAUGUAUCGAUAACAUAAUCCUUUGCAAAACACCAGAGAUACAUAGAAUGAGUUCUGCGAUUCAUGAAGAGAAAUUGUUUUCCUAAAUUCUCAGUGUGUAAAAUUAGUUUUAAUUUAUAACAAUCCUGUGAAAGAUCUAUUUUGGUAUUUACAUGUUUUUCUUUGCCAAUUUUUUAAAUAUAUUUGUUUUUUAAUUAGUUCUUUUUUUUCCCUUUGUCUUCCUGCUUGUGCUCUUCACAAAAAUGAUUUUAGAGUUUAUGCACAUGGCUCAUUUUCUGUAUAUUUUUGACCGGAUCUGUGAAAAGAAAUCUUAUGGAGAUUAUUUUACUUGACUUUUUACGAAAACUUAAACCACGUUCCUCUACAACCCAGUAAUUUUUCUCCCGGAAGCGCUAACUCACAUCUUCAAUUUUUGCACUUUCAGGGUCACACUUGCCUCAAAAUUUCCAGAUUAUCCUCUUCCAUUCAGUGGUACCAAUUACUCAAAUUUGAAUUUUUGGAAGAUAGGGUCCCUUUCCACAGAUCCUGUCAAUUUUGGGAAGAGAAGACUCGUUUUUCAUUAGAUAGUCCAGGUGCCUCAUAAAGCUAGCUAGAAUUUCGGGUACACAGCUGUUUUUAUUAUCUCUAGCUUCGGGUGUUACGGGUUGCUAAAUCCGAAUCUGGGGUUACUUUACACCUAUCAAUCGAGCAUUUGCCGUAAAUUUUGAAAGAAUGGGUUAAAAGGCGUUUUUUUACGGUUUUUUUCAUGGGUAGCUAGCUAGCCACUGCUUUCCAAAAAACGUCUUUUUAAGAAUUGUGUCCAGGCCGGGAAAAUUCUGAAAUCAUCUGGGAAUGAAAAAUGUCAGGGAAUAAUAGAAUAACCUAGAAUUCUGGACACCUUGUUCUUAAGCCAUCUUUUUAAAUAGGCAGCGAAUGCUGCAUUGCUAAAGAUGUUUUCAAAUUUGUAAUUAUUUGUUUUGUCAUUUUUUCUAAUUUGACUUGUAUUAAGCCGUUUUAUCAUUCAGGCUAACGAACCAUUUUUUAAUAAAUGAAAAAAAUAAAUAUUUUGUAAGUAAAUAAAACAGCUGUGAACUCGAAAUUCCAGCUUAUCCGUUUUUUAGCUACCAGGCGCCUGCGACUGGUCUAAGAUCAUAAUCAAAGAUGACAAGUCGGGAAGUUUUGAUGGCCAGGAAAGGGAAUUAAUAUCUUGAUUAUUUACUUUCAAAACUCAUGAUGUUUUGAAUGGCAAGCAUUGAAGAAACUUUCAGCCAAAAAUAACAGAGCUUUUGGAACAACGAGCAAAUUAGGAAAAACGGACCUCAAAUUAGGAAUGUUCCAGCCUAAAUAUAAAUAACAC